rnacentral:rRNA from 1 species
CGAAGGCUUCGGCCUUAGUGGCGCACGGGUGCGUAACGCGUGGGAAUCUGCCCUUAGGUACGGGAUAACCAUUCGAAAGGAUGGCUAAUACCGUAUGAUGUUUAGCGACCAAAGAUUUAUCGCGCAGAGGAUGAGCCCUGCGUAGGAUUAGCGUAGUUGGUGGGGUAAAGGCCUACCAAGGCGACGAUCCUUACCUGGUCUGAGAGGAUGAUCAGCCACACUGGGACUGAGACACGGCCCAGACUCCUACGGGAGGCAGCAGUGGGGAAUAUUGGACAAUGGGCGAAAGCCUGAUCCAGCAAUGCCGCGUGAGUGAUGAAGGCCUUAGGGUUGUAAAGCUCUUUUACCCGGGAAGAUAAUGACUGUACCGGGAGAAUAAGCCCCGGCUAACUCCGUGCCAGCAGCCGCGGUAAUACGGAGGGGACUAGCGUUGUUCGGAAUUACUGGGCGUAAAGCGCACGUAGGCGGCUUUGUAAGUUAGAGGUGAAAGCCUGGGGCUCAACUCCAGAAUUGCCUUUAAGACUGCAUCGCUUGAACGUCGGAGAGGUGAGUGGAAUUCCGAGUGUAGAGGUGAAAUUCGUAGAUAUUCGGAAGAACACCAGUGGCGAAGGCGGCUCACUGGACGACU